UUAAUGGUAUUGCCAGCUGACCUGAAAGUGCAUUCUGUUGUGAACAUUUGUCACUUAAAUGCCUAAAGAGAUCUAAGGCUUUAAAAAAUAGCUGCAUGUCUGUUGGCAUUAGCAGCUUGUUCAGCAUUGAGAAGUGACUCUAGCAAUGUCCACGCACAAAACUUGCAUUCACAAAGAGCAGAUAUAGAUAAAUUGUACAAGCAAUAUUUCCACAUAUGUACAACCGCAAUGGCCUUUAAGAAGUUUAAAAUGCUGCAACCUGUUAUUUGCUUUAGCAUGUUGCUUAGCAUUAAGAGUGGCUCUCAAGUCACGCGCAACAGUGGUACCCACAAAUGGUACAGAUGGGUGGUUAAGUGGACGGAACUUGGCAGAAGCAGCAGUCUUUUGGCAAAGAAAAACGGGAAUGGCCUAGCAGAAGUUGAGACCUAGUUCCUGUUGUAGAAGCAAGUUAUUUCUUGCCUUUAUAAAACUGUCAUGUUUUUGGCACAGCUUUGGAAACAUGCAUAUGUAUGAACUUUACUGUGAAGGCCACUUGCUGCACCAGCGCUGGUGACUAUUAUGCUGAGUACAAUUUUGUUCUUGGUUUAGUUACAAGUUUUCAUUUGGUUAUCUGAGCAAAGUGCACAUAUGCCAUUCACUUUUUCUUACCUAAUGUGGUUGCUUAGAGAUAGAUCUUACCUAUGAUAUAUGCUGGACAAAGAGCAAAUAAGGGAAAAAAAGGAGACCUACAAACUUCUUUAACUGCAAUUGACCAACCUCUGGACAAGUUUAAUAAUCUGCUGCACUUAGCUAAAAUAUCUAGCAGCAUGUUCUAACUCCUCUUGAUCAUACAAUUUGUGCUGCAUUAUAAAGUAACAAGGGAGAGCUGCGUAACUUAUGCAUUUUGACCUUGUAACCUAUCGUGAUAAACAUCGAAAGCAAUUGCAAGCUACAUGCAAAAGAGGAAAAGAAACUUGGCCACUGUGAAGUUAGUGUUAUAAAGCCUUAGAAUGUAAAAUACAGGCACAUUUUCUCGCCCUUUUUGUUUGUUGCCAGCAUGCACUGUUUCUGCUGACAAGCUGAUGCCUGCCUUAAUUUAAGCACCGUUUACUGAUAUAUAUUAGCAGCGCAGGCCUUUUGCUUGCAAUAUUCGGUGCGAGUGAAAAUUUCGUGCUCCAAAAAGCCCCCCCCCCCCCCCCAAAUUUUUUUGCGUGCACUGUUCUCAUGUUCCAUUCUGUACUGCUGAAGCAGCAGCAACUUACAUGCGUGUUGAGCUCCUAUCUCGUUGUUAGGACUGCGCAGACAAUGUAAAUGUCUGUUUGAGUGUGGUUGCAAUUAUUUCAAAUUGUUGUUGAGAAACUGUAUGGCAAAUGACUUGGUGCAUUCUCUUUUAGCACUGAAUGGCAUGCUAAACGUUUUGAAUUAUUUUUGACAGCUCUGACAAAUGCUCCUUCUCUGGCUGAAGUACGUAGACCACAGCAGCUGCCAAGAAAUAGUUUGCUUCUGAAAAAGCAUACGUUGUGUAAUUUAUAAAUGCAGCCUGCAGUGAUUUAUGUGACUACAAUGAAAGCACCUCUUGAUUUGUAACUGUGAGCUGUAGAAAAUUUUUUUUUUUAACUGUUGUGGUUUGUGGGCUUCUUCUGGUGUUCGGACAUGUUUAUUUGCAUUUGUUAAUGGAAGGUAAUAGCAAUCUGCUCUGCAACCGAGAGCAAUCUGCUGUGCAACUUUGUUGCAAACUAUGUUUUGGUCUAAAAACAUUUCUUAAAAUUUUUUUGAAGCGUCUUGUUUCAACAGUGUUUGCUGGUUCAGAAUAACUGCACAUAGUGCUUGGUGACAGCUGCUAAUGUGUUGUGUUAUUUUAAUUGCAUACAGCAUGCAUGCAUAAUGCUAUUAAAAUUGAAAUCAAGGGUCUUGCCACGGAUUCUUAAUUUGAAUCCUCUGCCGAACCUGCAAGAUUGUUCCCAGUUUGCAUUUUGUUUUCAUUAACCUAGUGGGCAUAUUACUUAUUACCCUAAAUAAAAUUUUACUGUGGGGAA
rnacentral:lncRNA from 1 species